CCUCAACGCUAUCUUUGCUGCGGGCCCUGUUCACUGUUGCCGAUUCAGCUGUAAGUUCACAAAUAAAGUAACGCUGACACUUUUUACAACACAUCAUGUAAAAACCUGACACUAUGUCCUUAUUUGACAAACUGCAGCACAUUCUCAUUGUAACACAAACCAUUUAAAAAAACACUUUAUUUAAACUAAAGCAGAACCAAAUAGAAAUAAUUUUGCAGGCUGAUUACAAUUGAAACGACAAUGCAGUGAGAUGUGCUGGUUUUGUACAACUAAACUAAAAAUCUCUUGUCUCUUUUUUUCCAUUUUCCUUCUUGCCAACUCUAUCCUGUCUCCUAGUGCAGACCGUUUUGUGGCGACUCGACGUAAGUUCACACAGGAAUGACAUUUUCAUGAAUAACGCAGGGUGCCUUUAUUCAAUACAUUAUGGACCCCUCAUCAUGUCCAAACUUAACUUUUUUUCCCCUUUGAUAAUGUAAUAUUCACAGUUGGAAAUGAACAGGUUAAAUGUGAUAUGCAAUACACUUAUUUGCAUUUUAUUUCCAAUCAUUGGAAAGCAAUUUGUUACUAUUAAAUUGUGGAGUUGUAAUUUUUUAAUCAUGAAAAUCCAAAGAAUUACUAAUUGAGUGUGAUUACCUCCUUUUGUGCAGCUCUUAUAUUAGAAAAAAAAUCAAAUUUAAUGUUCCUUAAUAUGGAAUAGACAAUCAUUAUCUAUGCCGCCAUUGAUUUAUUUUAUUAUUCAUUUAAUCCUCCGUUUAGAAAUGUGUAUAUCCUUCUAAGGUACUUUGCAUGCUUCUGUUUACAGCUUACGGAGCUGCUUGGCCUCAUUAUAACUUAUUACAUUGUAGGAAUACUUAAAACACGGUAAAGGAAAUAACAUUUUCCAAAACACAUCAUAUUUUAUCAGCAGAGUAAUCCAUUGUUAUUACUGCUUACCAGGACAUGGUUAUAAACAUUAUAGAGGGAACUUAAAAUAAAGAGUCUAAAAUGCGCAGGGAUAAUAGAAACUUUUGUAAAAUACUUUGAGGUCCUAAAUUUAAAAAGGCUGGUUCUGUGGUUGGAUUCAAGUUGGACUCGCUGGAGGAUGUGGUAGAGAGAUGUACUGUGAGGAAGGUGGAGGCUAUUCUAAAGAAUAUGGCUCACCCACUUCACAACACCUUGGUGGACUGAAAGGCCUAUGGUGGUGGACGGCUCCUCUCUCUGCUGCAGGACAGAAAGACUCAUAAGAUCUUUUGUACCCACAGCCAUCAGACUCUACAAUUUAAAUAGUAGAUGACUUUUUGCGACAUGACAAGUGAGACUACAGACAAUUGAAUUUCCCUUAGGGGAUAAAUAAAGUUCUUUGUAUCUUAAAUACAUUUUCAAUUAUCUCUUAUGAACACUCUGUAUUUUUAGUCAUUAAUUUGAUUGAAGGGUUAUCGAACAAGACAAUGGUCACUUCCAGCUUUUGACUCAACUUGACUUUUGAUAGAUGUAUAGUUGAGGACAGCCACUUGGUGGAUUGAGUAAAAGUACAUUAUAAUCUCACUAGCUUUGGGUGGAUGUUGGAUCAUUUAAUUUUGUCUUUUAUAAAAAAAGAUUAACGUUUUUUUCCAUUGUGUCUUACAGGUAUCCUGUCCAGUCUCCCCACUCUCCCCUAUCAUUUUGGUCCCUCUGACUUUCCUGUCUCCUCUACCACUCUUUCUGAUUGAAAAGCCACUCUACAAUCCUUGAACAAAUCUUUGAUACCAUUGAAACAAAUCUUUGAUACCAUUGAAACAAAUCUUUGAGACCCUUUGCAAUAAAUCUUUGAGACCUUUUGCAACAAAUCAUUUGAGACCCUUUUGCAACAAAUCAUUUGAGACCCCUUUGCAACAAAUCAUUUGAGACCCCUUUGCAACAAAUCAUUUGAGACCCCCUUGCAAUAAAUCUUUUGAGACCCCUUUGCAAUAAGUCUUAUUGAGACCUAUUUUAACAAACCACCUUUUUUGAGAAACCUUUGUAAACAAUCAACCCUUUUUUUGAGAGACCGAACUUCUGAAAAGCUGUACAUUUAAUGCAACCACUGUAUUGGAAAAAGCCCUAAUACUGCAAAAGUCUCAUUGUUGUUCUAGGUUUUCCUUUCCUGUCUGUGGAUCCAGAGUUUCACCAGAAGAAGUGUCAUCAGCACCACCACAUCUGCAUCCCUGGUCUUGAAAGAAAAAAAAACGUUUCAUAUAGAGUAUUUCAGUUAGAUAUUAUUUCAAGCACAAAGUUCUAAGAUUUAAAAAUUGUUGUUGAUUUGUGUUUUUUCUUAAAACAUUUAUUUAGUCUUGCCUAGGAUUUCCUUAGAAAACAUUUGAUAAACUAUUGUUGGUAUACAC